rnacentral:rRNA from 1 species
UACGUAGGGGGCAAGCGUUGUUCGGAAUUACUGGGCGUAAAGCGCGCGUAGGCGGUUUGAAAAGUCAGAUGUGAAAGCCCCGGGCUCAACUUGGGAACUGCAUUUGAUACUGUCAGACUAGAGUACAGAAGAGGUGACUGGAAUUCCCAGUGUAGCGGUGAAAUGCGUAGAUAUUGGGAGGAACACCCAGAUGCGAAGGCGGGUCACUGGCUGAUACUGACGCUGAAGUGCGAAAGCCAGGGAGCGAACGGG